ACAGCUUUAGAAAUCAUCCCU
rnacentral:miRNA from 1 species